rnacentral:rRNA from 1 species
AACGAACGCUGGCGGCAGGCUUAACACAUGCAAGUCGAACGCCCCGCAAGGGGAGUGGCAGACGGGUGAGUAACGCGUGGGAACGUACCUUUCAGUUCGGAAUAACUCAGGGAAACUUGUGCUAAUACCGGAUACGCCCGCAAGGGGGAAAGAUUUUAUCGCUGAAAGAUCGGCCCGCGUUGGAUUAGCUAGUUGGUGGGUAAAGGCCUACCAAGGCCACGAUCGGUAGCUGGUCUGAGAGGAUGAUCAGCCACACUGGGACUGAGACACGGCCCAGACUCCUACGGGAGGCAGCAGUGGGGAAUAGUUGGACAAUGGGCGCAAGCCUGAUCCAGCAAUGCCGCGUGUGUGAAGAAGGCCUGCGGGUUGUAAAGCACUUUCAGUGGGGAAGAACGGGGUCCGGGCCAAUACCCCGGAUCACUGACGUUACCCACAGAAGAAGCACCGGCUAACUCCGUG